GAAGGCCUGACAAUAAAUGAUUCAGUUAUCGUUUUAGUUCUAUUCAAUUCAGUUAAGCAAAUGUCAUUCCAAAAGAACGACACUGAUGACCAUUAAGAUUUUUUUUUUUUUCAAACAUUGAUAAGAUACGUAUAGUUGUGUACGGAAUAACUAAUUCAGAACGGAGGAAGUGUGAAGAUUGGUGUUCUUUAUAUCUGACACGUGUCAUUAAUUUUCCUCCCACGUAAUUUUUUCUUUUCCAAACGGAGAUUUCCAAUUUUACUCUGCGCCACCCUCUCCAUCCUCCAUUGAAGCAGCUUCUCAGCUUUCUCUCUCCUCCAUUGAAGCAGCUUCUCAGCAUAGAAGUUUAAACUUGACCAAUGCCUCACAGGACACGGCCUAUGGCAGCGCUUCUUUUGUUUACUGGCCUGAAUGUGGUUUUGGUGUCAUCAAUCUCACCUGUCUACGAUUAUGUGUGCUUUCAUCCUUAUUGGGAAAGAAGGAGAGAAAGGCGUCGUAUGGAACGUGAAGCUUCCAUGGAAAGAGGCUCUAUGUCGGCUUAAUUUCAGCUUCAACGUUAAGCUAUUUCUUAUUGCAGAAGAAUUGUCUUCAGAGGACCAUGUGUCAGGGGGGAUGUGCUGCAUUUCUAGGUACAAAUGAGAUUACAUCCGCGCAAACAAAGGAGCAUGAAACAAAGUUUUCCUUUCUUCAUAACUGUUUACGUUCACAAAAAUUAUUGCUUGUUGGCUUUCUGGUGAGUACCAAACUGCCCUUAUAAUCCCAGAUUCCUAAAUUUGAGUCCUUAAUUUCCUAUGGUCUGUCUUUCAACUGACGUUGGCUUUCUUAUUACUCUUGUAAAUACUUUUGAUGAUUGUAUAGAUUAAUUUCUUUUGAUCCUCA